GAGAGAAAGCGGUCUAAAGAUUCCAGAACACAAGAGCUUAUCCUUCAAACUCGAAACUCGAGCUGAUGACCCCUCUUCGUCUUCUCCGUCCGGCGACGACAUGGCGGCGGACCAGUCUUGCUCGACAUGCCUCUUCGUUCCGCUUUGAUCUUUGGUCACGAAUCGUCCAUGUGUGGAAGAAGAGUUGAAGUCAGAAAUUUGACAACUCCGAUGGCUCUGCAACAAUUUUCAGCGACUACGGUUUUCAAUGAUGACAUACGAGCUUCUUGGGAGUCCUUGGGUUCAUGUCUAAUGCUGGUUUGAGUUUCAGAUUAAGGAGUGAAGCUGGGUCAUGUGAGUUUUCAGACUUGUGAAGUGAAGCACAAUUGUCAGAAUUUGUGAAAUCUGGUAGUGAAGUGUUUGGCUUAAUUCGAACGGGAUCGAAGGUGAGGAGGAUUAAGGUGUGUAGCCGUAGAGCUCUUCUGAGAAUCACACAACACCUUAAUUAAGUUUACAACUCUAUUUGCCAUAAGAAUGGUGGAAGUACUGGAUUGGGAGAGCAAAGGGAGAAUCUAUCCAGCUGCGGUGUUGUUCAAAAGGGAGCAGCUGCAACUCGGUCAUGAUCUGAUCAUAAGAAAAGUUAAGUAAUUGGGUAGACAACUACGGAUUUGGUGAUUCUGUUUAAGGAAGGGAAGCCAUCUGGUCCUUGUGCCACACUCGUCAAUUGCUAGAAGGGGUGCAGACUUGGCUCAUAAUUGAUUCAUGCAUUAUGAUCAGAGGUAAAGCAGAAGGUGUUGUUAGCAUGGAGAGUACAACGACCAAAGACUCAGAUUACUCUUUUGUUGAUUAGAAAGGACUUCAGUCCCGGAACAAGAAAUGUGGUGGUGUUGGCCUAGAGAAACCUAAUGGAAUCAAAUUGUGAUAUUCCAGGUAGGGGAUUCUGGACUUGUCUCAGUUAGUGUUUUAUGCAUAUGAUAUUAAAGUAAAGUGAUUUAUGCAUGAAAGAAAUAUAUUUUCGAUUCCUUGUGAAUUAUUAUUUGAUGACCUGAGAGUGAGCGGGGCAUAGCGACUUCCUUGCGUUUCAAUCCCCUAAACCUCCGGAGGGGCUGUACGGACUGGAGGACGUCUAACAUCCUUUGAGGUGUGGCGUCGCUCUUAGGCGGUAUGGCGUAAAUGGACACUCUCGCUACACCUUGCCGGUGUGUACGAUAAUAAUCGUGGUAAGGUUGUAGUUGGCUUGAGAUAGAUCGGUCAUCAGGUUUGUAUAUCUAUUUUGGGCCCUAUUUGCAUUUUUACAAGAAAUGAUUAUUUUAAACUGUUAUGCAUUAUUUUCACUGCUAGCCAUGGCAAAUGUUUUAAAUUGUUUUCACACCUAGUUGGGGUAAAGUUUAUUGAGCAGCGAGGACGAAAGCUCACCCCUACAACAGUUCAUGGAUGCAGGUACUGUGUACGGAGACGGGACAACUGGACGGCAUUGGGUGUGGCUUAGAAAUUCUAUAAUUCAUGUUAU